CAGUCGCCACGGGAAUACGGAGGGUGCAAGCGUUAUCCGGAUUUAUUGGGUUUAAAGUGUCCGUAGGCGGAUCUGUAAGUCAGUGGUGAAAUCUCACAGCUUAACUGUGAAACUGCCAUUGAUACUGCAGGUCUUGAGUAAAUUUGAAGUGGCUGGAAUAAGUAGUGUAGCGGUGAAAUGCAUAGAUAUUACUUAGAACACCAAUUGCGAAGGCAGGUCACUAAGAUUUAACUGACGCUGAUGGACGAAAGCGUGGGGAGCGAACAGGAUUAGAUACCCGGGUAGUCCCUGUCUCUUAUAC
rnacentral:rRNA from 1 species